AGACCAAUAGCUCCAAUGGUAGAGCACUGGAUUCCAAAUCCAGGUGUUGGGGGUUCGAGUCCCUCUUGGUCUGCCA
rnacentral:tRNA from 1 species